rnacentral:lncRNA from 1 species
UGAACACAGCAGGCUGUUUCAUCUCUGGGCUGCUACAGUGAUUGCAGAAGAUCUCUCAGAAGAGGUGAUUUGAACAUAGACAUCACAAACAUGAAGAAGUGAGAACCAUGAAGGUAAUUUAGCAAAGGUACACUGUGCCAAGCUGACAACACUGUUUAUGGCUGUGGGUCACCAGCUCCCUGAGACCUGCUCCUCUGCACCUCCCUAAAGGCUAAGAGACUCAAUAUCUCUCUCACUCGAACCCAUCAGCUCCACAGCAAAGUUCCUGGUAUCUCUUUUGGGAAAUAUCCUGCCAUUGGGAAAGAAAGGAGAACAGGAAUUGAUGAAGAAAAGGGAGAAAAGGGGACAAAAAGAAGACAAAAGAAGAAUAGAAGCAGAAGAGUACGGUAUUCUAAGUGAAGGAAGAACCUUUUUAAAGAGGGAGUGAACCAAAAAGACUUGACAGCUAUUGAGAAUUCCAAUUGUGUGGGAGCUAAGGAGAGGGCACUGGUUAGGGCAAUGUCCUCCCUGGUUUUGCGUUAGAGGCAGUUUGAGUAGUAGAGGGGCAUAGAAGGCAGAUUAGGCAGUGACAGGGAAGUAUGGAAGCGGUGUGUGUGGUUUGCUGCACUUAGACAAACCUUGUGGGGGAAGGUAGAAAAGCAAUGGGCUGGAAUGGGUGGCAAUGACACUUUGGGGAUUUGAAGACCUGCCUGAGUUUGUAUGCAGAUUGAGGGGAAGAUAUAAGAGGAAAGAAUGGAACUGAAAACAUAAAAGACAAAAGGAAAUAAUUGACAAAGCAAAAUUCAGGCAACCAGGAAAGAACGGGAUCAAAUGUAUGUAGACAGAUUAAACUUGGUUAAGAAUAUACUUUUCUUUGAAUAGACAGAAAGGAGGAACAUAUUGAUAAAUGGUAGAGGGAGAUUUUGAAGGGUGCUGAAGACCUGAGAGAGUAUUCUCACUCAAUAGCUUUUGUUUUCUCUGUAAAAUAUGAUGUGAGAAGGAUGGUGAUCAUUCAGCAAUUCCUACUGGGGAAAAGGACAGACAACAACGUGGAGUGAGAGUGGGGUCAGAUGACUGUAUCAAUCAUGUGCUCAACACUGUGCUAGGUGCUG